UACGAAGGGGGCUAGCGUUGCUCGGAAUCACUGGGCGUAAAGGGUGCGUAGGCGGGUCUUUAAGUCAGGGGUGAAAUCCUGGAGCUCAACUCCAGAACUGCCUUUGAUACUGAAGAUCUUGAGUUCGGAGAGGUGGAGUGGUGAACUGCGAGUGUAGAGGUGAAAUUCGUAGAUAUUCGCAAGAACACCAGUGGCGAAGGCGGCUCACUGGCCCGAUACUGACGCUGAGGCACGAAAGCGUGGGGGAGCAAACAGG
rnacentral:rRNA from 1 species